rnacentral:rRNA from 1 species
CACGUAGGGCGCAAGCGUUGUCCGGAAUUAUUGGGCGUAAAGAGCUCGUAGGCGGUCUGUUGCGUCCGCUGUGAAAACUCGGGGCUUAACCCCGAGCCUGCAGUGGAUACGGGCAGACUAGAGGUAGGUAGGGGAGAAUGGAAUUCCCGGUGUAGCGGUGAAAUGCGUAGAUAUCUGGAGGAAUACCGGUGGCGAAGGCGGCAUCCUGGACCGAUAUUGACGCUGAUGAGCGAAAGCGAGGGGAGCAAACGGG